rnacentral:rRNA from 1 species
UUUCGCCUACGGGGGGCAGCAGUGGGGAAUAUUGCACAAUGGGGGAAACCCUGAUGCAGCAACGCCGCGUGAAGGAAGACGGUUUUCGGAUUGUAAACUUCUUUUCUUAGUGAAGAAGCAAGUGACGGUAGCUAAGGAAUAAGCAUCGGCUAACUACGUGCCAGCAGCCGCGGUAAUACGUAGGAUGCGAGCGUUAUCCGGAAUUACUGGGUGUAAAGGGAGCGCAGGCGGGAUGGCAAGUCAGAUGUGAAAUCCAGGGGCUCAACCCCUGAACUGCAUUUGAAACUGUCGUUCUUGAGUACUGG